rnacentral:piRNA from 1 species
UCCACGGGCUCAUCAGGAGGGACGGCGUCC